UGCCAGCAGCCGCGGUAAUACGAAAGGAGCUAGCGUUGUUCGGAAUCACUGGGCGUAAAGAGCGUGUAGGUGGCCUAUUAAGUUAGACGUGAAAUCCCCGAGCUUAACUCGGGAACUGCGUUUGAUACUGGUAGGCUUGAGAUUAGAAGAGGAGAAGGGAAUUCCUAGUGUAGAGGUGAAAUUCGUAGAUAUUAGGAGGAACACCGGUGGCGAAGGCGCUUCUCUGGGCUAAAACUGACACUGAGACGCGAAAGCGUGGGGAGCAAACAGGAUUAGAUA
rnacentral:rRNA from 1 species